rnacentral:rRNA from 1 species
AGUCUGCAACUCGAGUACAUGAAGCUGGAAUCGCUAGUAAUCGCAAAUCAGAAUGUUGCGGUGAAUACGUUCCCGGGCCUUGUACACACCGCCCGUCACACCAUGGGAGUUGGAAGCACCCGAAGUCGAUGACCUAACCGCGAGGGAGGAGUCGCCGAAGGUGAAGCCAGUGACUGGGGUGAAGUCGUAACAAGGUAUC